GUAGACGCUACGGACUUUCCGUCGACUUUAGAAAUCGUGAGGGUUCAAGUCCCUCUAUCCCCA
rnacentral:tRNA from 2 species